rnacentral:piRNA from 1 species
UCACAAGGACGAGAGCAGGAGCUGG